rnacentral:lncRNA from 1 species
AUGGCGCGUAUGCAGACAUAUAUGUAAUAUAUUCAUAAACCAUGUUUAUCAUUUUAAAGUUUUUAAUACAAACUAACGGUUUUAUUUCAUUUAUUUGUAAACAAAAACCAUACGCAAAAUCAUCUAACUGCAAAAAUAGACAGGACAUAAUCAUAUUGACAUAAAAGUUGAAUCUUUUGUUCAGUAGCAAUGCAACAUCUUUAACAUGAACUAUACAGUAAGAUCGAAGUAGGUAUUUCGUACAUGAGUAAAACUCCAACAUGAUCUGUAACGAUGAACUGUACUAUUGUUCAAGUGGAUAAAUACGUAAAGAAGAUGGUUUGCACCUGCAAAUAAUGUGCUAAUAUGAACGGUUGUGAUUAAUUAAUGAGAUGCUCGUUUUGUGCCUGGAAGAGAGAAUAUAGGUGCUUUAUCUACAAGUACUUUUCUUCCAAGACGAGUUGUUGAUUUCACCUCCCAUGCAGGACCAAUAAGCCACGAUGUAGCAAUUCCGCCCAUUAACCCUCCAAGCUGAAACAAUGGUUUGUACCAUAUUUAAGGCGAUCACACGAGCAACAUGAUUCAAGUCUCCUACACCACCUUUAACCAUCUUAUUGUGUCUCAACACAAAAAUGGCAAAAGAUCCAACCUGAUACAUAUAUAACCUUGUAAUAUAAAUAAAUCUUAGAAAAAAGUAAAUAAAAAUAUUGGCUUCAUAUGUAUAUUUAUGAAGGUAACAUAGAAAUUAAAACACAUGUUAAUUCAACGGUCAAAACCUUACCAGUCCGAAAAUCGCCCCAGAAGCGCCAACUGCUGGUGCUUUACUGAACCAAUAACUCAUUGCAGAACCUAAAGUUGUAAAAUACCACACAUACAUAUAUGAAAAUUGCAAUUAAAAUAAUAUACACAAUUAAAAAAAUUACUUGUGACGGCGGAGGUCAUAUAUAUUGCGAGGUAUCUUCUGGGCCCACUUAGAUGCUCCAUGGUGGGGCCAAUGGAGUUUAGAGAAUAACAGUUAAUCUGAAAAGGGUUAGAAUUAAUUUAGUUUGCUGAGAUUUAUAUAUGAUUGAAAAUAAAAUACUUGAUGCAGAAAAACAAGAAAAACUCAAACCUGACCAUAAGGUGUCCGACAUUUGCGUGUAGAAAGGCAGAUGUGACCAGCCUCCACAGUUCUCCUUUGUCAAUCAGACUAUUAAUCUAACCACAAUUAUCUAUAAGUUAUAAAAGUGCCAUGACAUAUAGAAUUAAAUAUUCUUUAAUAGAUCUAACCUUUGCUCCCCACAUUAACACCUGCCCUCGUGAUGCUAUUUGUGCAACGUACACCCUGAAAUGAAAAAUUACCAAUAUUUUUCCACCAUUAGUGUAAACAUAUAAUAAGUGACAAGUAUAUACUUACAACACAUUAAUGGCAAGUAAUAUAUUCGUCAAUCUCCUGUUAUUAACCGGGCCUCUCGUGGGAGCCCUUAAGUAUGCAUUUCCUUGGUCUCCAUAGUUGGUUUUGUUUUCUUCUCCGCUAAACAACAAUAAGCAUCUAGAGAAAGUGGUGGCCCAUGCAUCAUGAGGCCAUUGCCCAAGCUUAAACCAUUCAAACUGGUGUGAUCCUUCAUAAGGCACUCCAUUUAACCGAUAAACAUGGCCCAGAUGAGGAAUCUAUUUGACAAGAAACAUCAUAUUCGUAAAUUUUCAUGAACCGGAGAAAACAUUAUGGUGUUGCUUUCACCCUGAUUGCCAAACACGGAAUUAAUCAUGGUGCUAAUAUUUUUGGGUUCACUUAUUUCAUGUAACGGGUCAAAACGGGCCUUGGUUAUAACAAGCCAGGCUGUGUCAGGUUUAAAUCAAGGUGUUAUUUGUGACUAUAAGAGCAAUAAUAUUAUUAUAAUACUCUAAAUCUUUGAAUAAAUUAUAAAACAAUUUUGGAGCUCAUGUGCUUUUAAAAUAAGCUUUGACUUACUUUCAAUCUGUUUGACCAAUUCCCAUUUAGCUAAUUUCUUUCUUGUUUGACACGUUUGAGAUAGAACUCAACCCAAACCAGUCCAUAAAGGUUGAAAUUGACACCUCUAGCUUCCGGUUAACAAGUAUUGUAAGAAAAUUCAAGCUAAGGACUUGGUUUUGAAAAGCAAGAAGCGCCAAGGCGACAGGGUCUAAAACGGAGGCACAAAAGAGCUCACUUCUCAUAUGCAAGGCACAAAUUAUCAUAUAAAGUUUUUAUAUCCCUCCUAUAGGUUUCUACUUUCUAGCAUCAUUUACCCAAAAUUAGACACAAAUAAGCUUUAUAUAUGUUUUGGUACAUAAAUAACCAACAUGUACAACCUGAAAUGCAUGGUGUACAACACCCUGCUGCACAAAAAUAUGCCAUGUACAUGAGGCGCACGCCUCCCGGUCAAUUUUUGGCAAAAAAAAAAAAUGCCUCAUGUGAGCUUUUAGUAAAACUUGCGUCUUAUGUAGGCUGAAGCGAAGACCCCUGCGCCUGAGGUCGCCUUGCUACGUUUAACUCUUAAACCAAAGCUAAGAAUAACUCUUAUAAAUUCAGUUGAACACAAAAUCCCAGCCUUAAGAAUCACAUCACCAACAAACCAAAAUUGAUAUUACUCCACACUACCCACUUAUUUUUUUGGAUUGCCUUUUUAAAAUUACCAAGCAUCAACAUUGUAAUCCAAAACCUCUUCCAAACAUCAACCUACUAGAUAGCAUAGAUCAAUGUACAUACAAUACACAUUCAAUUCUAAUAUAAGCAAACACAAAGAAAUGAACUUUGACUUCAAAAGUCAAACAAUUUACCUUACAAAAUUCAACUUCAAAACACAUCAUGAUGUGUCACAAAUUCAUCAAGUCGAAACCCUAAAAAUCAAAUCAAGUGCUAACAUCGCAUUGGAACCCUUAGAAACGCACAAAUUAAUCUAAGAUUCAUGAACCUAAGUCAAUUAGCUCUCUAAUAUAUCUAAUAAGAAGAUGAUAAUACCGUUACAGGUGACUGUAGAAUCGAGCGCAGGUGGUGGCGAUGGGUGAGGAAACUGUGGCGGAGGAAAUGACCGAGGCGGAGAGCGGCGGCGUUGGUGAUGAGAUGGAACGGUCUGGGAACGGUUCCAUGACCGGAAACCGAGAACUCCGGUGGUUGAGGUGCGAAUGAACCAACCAUCGCUGUGAAGAAAAGGUUUUGUUAUCU